AUUGAACGCUGGCGGCAUGCCUUACACAUGCAAGUCGAACGGCAGCAUGGAAGAGCUUGCUCUUCUGAUGGCGAGUGGCGAACGGGUGAGUAAAGCAUCGGAACGUACCGUGGAGUGGGGGAUAACGUAGCGAAAGUUACGCUAAUACCGCAUACGCAAUGAGGUGGAAAGCAGGGGAGCGCAUGACCUUGCGCUAUACGAGCGGCCGAUGUCAGAUUAGCUAGUUGGUAGGGUAACGGCCUACCAAGGCGACGAUUUGUAGCGGGUCUGAGAGGAUCAUCCGCCACACUGGGACUGAGACACGGCCCAGACUCCUACGGGAGGCAGCAGUGGGGAAUUUUGGACAAUGGGGGAAACCCUGAUCCAGCCAUGCCGCGUGAGUGAAGAAGGCCUUCGGGUUGUAAAGCUCUUUCGGCUGGGAAGAAAUCGCACAGGCUAAUACUCUGUGUGGAUGACGGUACCAGCACAAGAAGCACCGGCUAACUACGUGCCAGCAGCCGCCGUAA
rnacentral:rRNA from 1 species